CGACUUCUCAGGAGAAGACAUGAAAGAAGGAAGAAGACAGCUGGCAUUAUUUCUAGCUCGGAAGUACAUGAAAAAUUUUGAUGCAACACACUGCACACCCUACCACCUUAUGAAUUUCAGUUACCCUGGACGUUAUAACACUGAGAGGAUGUCAAGGAGCAUUUCUACUUGAAGCAUCCAAGAUGCGAUACCCGUUUUUGUCAGCUAAUUGUGCCAGCUGAUUUGGAAGAACCUGUAUAACUGAAGAUUGUAGUUUAUGAGCAACUUGACUUGAUGACCUCAUGCAUUUUAAAUAUUCCACCUUGAAGCGUGUGUUAAAAUGUCAGCUAAUCCCAUCUGCUCAAAUCUAUCUAUUGAGUAGACAAAUAUUUUACCAGUUAUUCAAGCAUCUGUUAUUAUUUUUGUACUUUUGAACUACAGCAUAAUAAUUUAUUUGUGAAUAUCUUUUUAACUUCUGUAGAGGUUGACAUGACAUCUUCCUCAAGCAAAUAAAUCUUAAGACUCUUCUAGUGAGAUUUGCCUGAAAUUGGACUAAGCUACCUUGUUGUAAUUUUUUGAAGAAUUUAUAAUAUUGUUAUUUACCAUAUGUUUGAAACUGAGUUUAUGUGGUGGUCAUCAUAAUCGUUUAAACAAAUUGAAUUAUUGGAUUACUACAGGCACAAAAACCAUGUUCUCAGUGUCUCAAUCUCUUUGCAGCAUAUUAAUUUCUGAUUAUUGCACUAGUGCACAAAGUGCUCACACAUUAUGUGUAUUUUUAUUUUAAAUCAAGCAAAUUUAAA